rnacentral:siRNA from 1 species
CUAAGAACAAGCACAACCGACUA